AUCUCUGCGUGACUUCCGCCAGCGUUUAGAGCGUUUUCGGGGUCCGAGUUGAAGAGCAAAACCAAGUGAAGGAAACUUCACUAAGUUCAGGGUGACAAGGGAGGAAGUACAGAGACUGCACUUUAAAUUCUGGAUGACAGACCUAUCAGGACUGAGUGGACCUUUGAGUGACAAGAUGGGGGUGUUCCAAAGAGACCAUGGCAGCCUGCAGCUAGGACUUUAAUUGAACUAUUGGCAUGGCUCAAUCCAUUGACCUGUUUUGGUUCCUGAUGAAGUUUUGUUAAUUUAAAUGAGAAAAAUAAGGACAGUGAAAAACAGAGCGCUUAAAAAGCACUGUCUGGAUAUCUUCAGAGGGAAAAAGGAGAAAGUUAACUGAAUUGGUGACACUUCGGGUCUCUCACAGAGGAAGAUUAGAUGAAGGUGACCUUCCCCUUCGCCAAGCAGAAUCUCCCAUGAGACUCAUGAAUCCUCUUGAGGCCAAUUACAGCUAUCACUUGUUAACUGUUGGAGUACUUUCAGUCUUAAAAGAGCUGCUAGAAAAUUAAGGCUGCAACAUGAAAGAAGAACAAAAUGGUCAGGCAUAUCACACGUUUUUAUCAAAUGAUUUGGUUUAGGACUUGAUAACCUGGUUAGUACUUGAGCACUGAAAGAUAUUUUGAAUUUAAAGUAAGAUGGAGAAAGUGAUGGAAGCUAAAUCACAGAGGAUAGAAAUACGAUCAAUCGUAUUCAGAACAGAAACAUCUUGGGCUCAAUGUCUGGGAACAAUGAGAAGAUUAGGCUGCUUUAGAACUUAGCUCUCAUUUGUUUUGGUAACCUCCACCUGCAAGAGGACACUCUUCCGUCCCAGUGAGACUGAGGUGAGAAUCACAAGACCACUGCCCUCUAUCUCAUCUUUUCUCCAAGCCUUAGACCAUCAUGGGAUUCACUAACAUCAUUCACACUUCAGGAGUGAUAUAUCAGAGUGAGCCCCUCUUUUCUGCUCAUCUUUCUGCCUCUCUAGAAAAGAGAUAAUUUCACUGUUUACCUCGGGAAACAUGAAAGUUAAUGAUAAAUGUAAAUGAUAGAUGAGGCAAGCAUUGAAAGCUAUAAAGUUGAAAGUAGGACCUAAUACCCUGUAGUAAUGUGUACUCCUUUUUAAAAGAAAACACACAAGUCAUUUAAGAAAGGUUAAUUUCUGCUACCUUUCCAAAAUAUUCUCAGAAUAAUUGGAGAGAAAAAUUGUGACAAAACACUGGGGGCACCAUUGGUGAAAGAAAACUGUAUAUUCUUGUCUUUCAGUCAGGAAAGAAUAAUAUCUACUUGAUCGAAAUGAUUUUUUUCCUCAGAAACUGUGGUACUGGCUACUAGAAAACAGAGAAUUUAAACUAUUAUUUCUCAGAAUGUUUUAUCUCCAUGACCCAAAGAUGGUUUCCCUCCAUGAGAAAAUAUCCCAGUGUUUGUUUUCGAGUUGUCAUCAACACAAAGCAGCAGCACGUUCACAUAUAAUGUGUUUCCAGCUUUUCAAAGCAUUUUCACUUGUUUCUCAAUUGUUUAUUACAAUAAUAACCCUGUGUUGACAUUAUUAUCUUCAUUUCACAAAUGAGGCAGCUCAGAUUCAGACAUUAAGGGACCUUCACAAUAUAUUUAGCUUACGGUGGCAGAACGAAGGCAAAACCAAAAGUCCUUGCCAAAGACUACCUCCAUUUGUCUUCAAUGGACUCCCUGAGUUUUUCAUUGUUGCUCUUUUGUGGUAUGGCUGAAGCCCUCAAAAUUUGGAAAAGACAAGCAAGUACAAGAUAGGCACUUAGAUUGUCAUUCCUCAACUGGCUUCUCUACAGCCUUUUCCUCCCAAUAUAUAAAAUACAGCAAUAAAGAACAGAAGACUAACAUUUUAAACACUGAACUGUUGCUCAAAUUUACUCCUCCUGUAUAAUAGUAUAAUUUGUUCUUAUAAGGUUGUAAAACUGCACUGCAUACUUAAAUUGCAUGUUUCACAUGUCUAUACUAUUCAGCUCCUUUUCUCAUCUCUGCAGUGCCUACCCCCAACAUACUACUGGCUUAACAAUUCCCAUGAAACAGUGUUUGAAUUUAAGAGGCAGGGCUGUGAGAAACACAAAUGGCCAUCCUCUCAUGUAUGUGCUUCUAUCACAGAAAUUUGAUUGUUCUCUAAAGGCAAGCAUGGAUUUUAUUUUAUUUCCAGCAUCUUCAAGGUAAUUAUCUACUUAACCUGCAUAGUAGCAGUUGUUGAGACUCAGUAAACCUCAAAAUGUAGCAUUUUGGUAUGCUAAUUAUUUCAAACUGAGGGCACUUGGGAAACAGCAAAUACAAGAAAGGGCUCUCUCUGAACUCCCUUAAGUGGCUGAAGAUAGAGCCUCCAAAAAGAAACACAAUUGUCAUAGGUAUCCUCCCUGGGAAUCUCAUCAGUGAAGGAAGAUUAACUCACAGGAGACACCACACUCCAGAAAGACUUUGUCACAAACUAUCCAUUACCUCUUCUUCUGAUGAGAUCCUUGGAGACAACUUUUAUUACCUGAGAGAUGUUAUCUGUAUAACAAGACAACCUUUGUUCUCCAUGCAUUCCCUCCUCUUACUCCCCUGCAACUUGUAUAGACACCACCCCCGAUAAACCACCAACCCCUACUCCUUUCUUUAGCUCAGGAUGCUAUAAAAACUUCUAUCAUCUGGCCCCUCUUCAAGUCCUCUACUUUGUGGGACUCCUGUGUGUAAUUAAAAUAGCUUUUCUCCUACUAAA
rnacentral:lncRNA from 1 species